UUGGGGAAUAACUGGAUGGGAAGAAUACAGUGUCAUCAAGGCUCCUGAGACUCUCUUUAAAAUUCACAAUACGGAUGUGCCGCUUUCUUACUAUACAGGAAUCCUAGGGAUGCCCGGGAUAACUGCUUAUGGAGGUUUUUAUGAGCUAUGCUCCCCAAAGAAAGGAGAAACUGUAUAUGUCUCUGCUGCGUCUGGAGCUGUUGGUCAGCUCGUUGGACAAUUCGCUAAGCUAAUAGGUUGCUAUGUUGUUGGAAGUG
rnacentral:misc_RNA from 1 species